GCCACUUUAGCUCAGCUGGUAGAGCAACUGACUUGUAAUCAGUAGGUCAUCCGUUCGAAUCGGAUAAGUGGCUCCA
rnacentral:tRNA from 1 species